AGCGAACGCUGGCGGCGUGCCUAAUACAUGCAAGUCGAACGGUCUUUUCUAUGGAAGCUUGCUUCCGCUGAGAAGAUAGUGGCGAACGGGUGAGUAACACGUGGGUAACCUGCCCAUAAGAGGGGGAUAACAUCCGGAAACGGGUGCUAAUACCGCAUAGUUUUCUUGAUCGCAUGAUUGAGAAAGGAAAGACGGCCUUUGUGCUGUCGCUUAUGGAUGGACCCGCGGCGUAUUAGUUAGUUGGUGAGGUAACGGCUCACCAAGACGAUGAUACGUAGCCGACCUGAGGGGGUGAGCGGCCACAUUGGGACUGAGACACGGCCCAAACUCCUACGGGAGGCAGCAGUAGGGAAUCUUCCGCAAUGGACGAAAGUCUGACGGAGCAACGCCGCGUGAGUGAAGAAGGUUUUCGGAUCGUAAAACUCUGUUGUCAGAGAAGAACAAGUCGGAGAGUAACUGCUCCGGCCUUGACGGUAUCUGACCAGAAAGCCACGGCUAACUACGUGCCAGCAGCCGCGGUAACAC
rnacentral:rRNA from 1 species